rnacentral:lncRNA from 1 species
CGCACAACAGCUCCAAAAGCAAAAGACCUAAGGUUAACACUAAAACCGAUCAAAGAGAGGCUAAAGGCUAAGAGGGAAAGGGAACCUACAAACGGUCAACUAAGGUCUUACCACCACUCCUAGCACUCACAACUGAUCCUAGAGCAAGGAUCAAGCCACGCAAAAGCCUUUCACACUCACCUCACACACUCAAAAAAUUUAUCGGUUUUAAGCCAUUUUCUCUCUCUAGAACAAACCAUAAGAUCGACUGAGAGAGAAAGCUCAGGGGUUUCUAAACUUCAAAAACACAUCCUAAGGGUUCUAUUUAUAGCCAAAGGGAGGGAUGUGAGCACUUGACACAUGUUCACACAUUUGUCACCAAUUUAAACCCGAAAUUCAUGAAUGUGGGUAAAUACUCUUAAUCUACUCUUUUUCUUCUGAGCUUCUGGAAGGUCACUUACUUUACGUUGAAGUUCAAGUGUAUCUAAUCUCAGCUCCAAACUUGAUCGGCAAGUUACUUUGCCACAUAACCCAUUUUUAAGGCUUAAAUGAGCUAUUUGCAAAACACAUGGUAAACCUACUCCUUAGGUUUGUUUCCCAUUAUUCCUGUAGACUCCAUGAGGUGCUGAAUUGACCAAUGCAUGCUCUCCUUCGUGCCUGACGUGAUUCGACUCCAAAUAAUUUUUCUUCAUGAAGGGCUUUUUUACCACUUUUGGUUAAUGGACUGCUCCACUUACUCCAGGCUUUAAAUGAUUGCUCCAGCCUGCUCCAUUACUUCAUUUGGGUCCUAAAUGAACCAUAGAUGUCGAGGUUUUGAGGUAGAAACCCAUUUCUCCAGUCCAUGUCUUCUUUGCCAUUUAUAGCCCAUUUCGGGUAUAAAAUGUGUCUUCAUGAUUCCUUGCUCUCUAGAUGUCUUUUUCCCAUGAUUUCUUCCCCCAAAAAUCCCUUGAUUUAUUCCACACCUUGUCCAGGUUUGAAGGAAUUUUUU